UUUUUUUUUUUUUUUUUUUGUAACCUGUUAUGUGGCUGGGUAUUGUCACAGCUGUGCUGUUAAGUUAGGGCGGUGAUUUUGCGGGGGAGGAUGUUUGACUGUAUCCUAGUAGGAAAUUAUGCAUAUGCAUGUAUAUGAAUGCUUCAGGGAGAUCUCUUAGAUUGGUUGGAACAUGUAGUUUGGUUGAUAAAGAUGUAUACUGUGAUGUUGGAUCUCUUAACUAGCAUUAAACCCGUUUGGAUUAUAAAAGCAUAACUGGCUGGUUCUAUAUACAGAUCAUAUUUAUAUUUUUUCUUCAUUCUAUUUUCCAAAAUGAUAUAAUAAUGAACUGAAACUAUUCAAGGCUUACCUGAUCAGCAAGUCUUUUCUUACUGAUUGGGAUGCUGCUGGCGAACCACAUUGUGGAGGUUCAUUGAAACUUGAAAGCAUCAGCAAGCACAGUACUGUUCUUCGCUAGAUGUCAGAAAGGUAUAAGAUCAAGAAUGAUGAUUCUUUGCCUGAACCGUUAAAUGAAUGGAGUAGCCUCAUCCUGUCUGCCUCAUGGUGAUUCUUUAGAUUUGCAAUACUCUGCAUUCUCUGACUCUUCAGGCUCAGGUAUGUAAUUCAACAUUGUCAACUUCUUCAAUGUUAUGAAGCUUACUCUCUUCUUUUGUCCCAUUAUUUGCUGGGGGAGGAGUGGAGAACAUGACUGUUUCUUUUUUGGCCAGUGGUAAAGAAUAUUAUUGUCUAAAGCAAUAAUUUGAAGCUUUUCUGGCAUGAAGAUGGUCCAACUUUAUAAUUUUGUGUCAAGCCAUGCAUUUGUUUUCUCCCCUAGCAAAAACAAUACGAGAUUGUUUUUGCUGUGAUCUUAUAUCUGUGGGUGAAAUGUGAGUCUUAGUGUGGUUACUGUUUAAUGUUCAUUCUGGAGGUCAUACUUUGGAGCCACUGAACAUCCAAACAUGCGAGACAAUCACUACUCACACAUCUGAGCUCUAGAUUUGACAGUUUGCUUGUUAAAAACUUAGAAUUCACGAAUUCAUUGUGGUUCGAUCAUUAAUAUCUGGGAUUGCAUUAGUAAGUUAAUCAUUCUACUGUUAACCUACUUUGAGCUCAGGAUCUAUCAUGGUGUCACCCUAUCCUAACGGCACUUGAAUGAGAGUUCUUGGAUGAGCAGAGGAAUUUAGCUCAUGUGGUUAAUUUCCCUUCCCAAUCUUCAUGAGUUUUGCAUAUUGUUUUCAUAUGCAUUUGUGUAUAUGUGUGUUGGAGAGAGUGAGAAAGAAGACAUUAUUAGAAUAUUUAGUUGGAUAAUAAUUGAUUAGGUUAGUGAGUUUGGUUGAUGGGUCACUAUUGUUUGUUCUGAUUGUCAGCUUAGCACAUCUGCAUCCUUCUGUAUUAUUGUGCUUGGGUUAUUAAUUAACGGUCAAUGCCAACUGCUAUGAGGCUGAGAUGUUACCCAAUUUUGAACUACCUUUACCUAAACUUAACCCCCUUUCUGAUUAAAAAUCAUACUUGAUCUCUACUUCAUCUUUCACUUAUUUGAGUCUUUCCCUUUACUUUUUAUGGGUGACAUGAUCAGAAUGAUUGGCAAUUCUUCACUUACCUUAGAAACCAAGCAACACUUAUAGCCCUUCCUCAGUCAUCUAUCAUUGAUUAUCACUCAAGUUUCAUGACCCAUUUUCUUCUUUGUAACAAUUUUGUUUCUUUUGGACCAAACAUGGUAGUUGGGAUAGAUGAUGUACAAACAUAAAAAAGCCUGGAUCGAUGCAACUUGGUAUUGUUUUUCUUUCAUUCUUUUCCUCUAUUAUCUAUUCUUACUACUCCAAGAGAACUUUUACCAACAAUCUGCGUUCAGUCUUCUUCCCAUUUUCGAAAUGCAUAUAAUCUUUAAACUUAAUCAUGAGAAUUUGUAAUAAGAGUUUGAUGUAUUUGGGAAUAUAAUUCAUUAGCGUUCCCGAUUCCAAUAUUUUCAAGCAAAGAUUCAUUCUAUCACCUUGUGAUUCUAUUUCCUUCAAAUACAAAUUACACAGAUAACUUGAAAUAGAAGGAAAAAACAAUGAAAAUUAAGAAACUUUCCUAAGAUGGUAAUGAUCGUGAUCGUCUUCCUCACAAAACCACCAAGAGUUUCACUGUCACCAACACUAGUUUAAUCAACUUCUAUUAAACACCCUCCAAAGUUUUCCAUAUAUUAUACUUCGGGUCUUCCCCAAACUUUUCUUCCAUUCAUUCCAACUUUCCAAAUUCUCGCAAACACCAUUGAAGCUGUUUGAGCUCCAUAAACCCCAAACACAUUGAACUCAUUACACAAAAUUUACAUGCAAAAAAUGAAGUCACCGCCGUUCUCUGCUUCUUCUUCUUCUUCCCUCUCCGUCUUGCGUAAAGCUCGCCUCUCUCCCUACCUCUUCACCCUCCUCGCCUUCAUUCUCUUCGUCGCCGUCCUCUACGGCGAGGACCUCAUGUGCAUUUUCAGCCAGCAGCUCGAACCCGCCGCCGCCAACCAAUUCGUCGUCAAGCCCGGUGAGUCAUCUGAAAAAACAAGAAGAUUCCGACCAAGAAACAGCAGUUUCAGAUUUUCAGUUGGUUUAACUGACUUGGGUUGUUUUGUUUUUUGGGCCUAGGGAAGAUCAAGAUGAAGAAGCUGCCGUUCUCCAUUGGGAAGAGUGAUCCGGAGUGCGACAUCUUCACCGGAAGAUGGGUUUGGGACGAGUCGAACCGGCCGCUUUACGAGGAAUCGGAGUGUCCUUACAUCCAGCCACAGUUGACUUGCCAAAAACACGGCCGGCCGGAUAAGGACUACCAGAAAUGGCGGUGGCAGCCGGACGGCUGUGAUCUUCCCAGGUUAGUAAACACGUUUUCUAGAUCUCAAACUAGACCAAACGCAUUAAUUCCUCGUUUUGGGAAAGUUGGGGUCUUUUUUGGGUUAAAGACUUGGACUUCGAGUUGUUUCUUCUCACCGACAAAACCAAAGAUUAGAGAUUUGUUGGGCUCCGGUGUUAGUGUCGUCCGGCUGGCCCGCCGGCCGGCAAGUCGUGGGUAGAGGGACACCUGCCCUUUUGUAUGAGCUGCAUUUAUGUAUGCUCUGGAGUAGAGGAACCAUGUGUACCUUUGUUACAUCUGUCUUAUUUGGGGGACAAAUUAUGGAAGGGUGUCCCUUCAAAUAUUUGUUUUUAUGUUUUGUGCCCAUAAUUUUUUUGGAGUUUCUAAUUGUUCAUACUACAUGAGUACAUAUGCAUUUUGGCAUUAGUGAGUUUGAUAUAACAUAUAGGGUCCUUAUUAUACAGGAUGUACAUAGUUUAAUGUACAGAAAUACAUGUAAAAUACGUACAGUUAUAAUUCGGACAUUUUGACCUGAAACUAUGUGUGAUUUUUCUUGUUUGUAAUUACACUCAUAUAGUGCGUGUAUUGUGAAACGUAAUGCAUGUAAUAUGUCCCGAUUACAAGUUUCAUUUUUUUUUCCAAGGUUUACGAAUGACAAAUGGGAGUAUUUUGGAAAAUAUAUGUAUCUGGUUGUACAAUACAAGUGUUAUGUGCAAAUUUACCAUUUGUUAAGUUCGAAUAACUGUAUCAUAUGUAUAAUGCUUCUACCAAAUUUUACAGCUUCAAUGCUACGUUAAUGUUGGAGACUCUACGAGGGAAGCGGAUGAUGUUUGUGGGAGAUUCUCUGAACAGGGGUCAGUAUGUUUCCAUGAUCUGUCUUCUCCACUCCCUUAUACCAGAGGGUGCCAAAUCCAUGGAAACCUUCGACUCAGAUUCACGAACUGUUUUCACAGCCAAGGUGACAUUUCACUGGAAUUUUGUUUUCUUCUUACAAACUACUGGUUAAAUGUACAUUCACAUCUUACUUGAUUAAAUUUUCAUCACAACUUUAGGAUUACAAUGCCACACUUGAGUUCUAUUGGGCGCCAUUUCUUCUUGAGUCAAACUCGGAUAAUGCUGUCAACCAUAGGAUAUCGGAUAGGCUUGUCAGGAAAGGGUCCAUGAAUUACCAUGGCAAACACUGGAAGGGGGUUGAUGUAUUGGUGUUCAAUACCUAUCUGUGGUGGAUGACCGGCUUGAAAUUUAAGAUCUUGUAUGCCUUUUACACCUUCCUGUCCAAUUAUAGAAAUAUAGAAAUAAUAUUAAUAAUGAAGCUUGUAAAAGUAUCUCAUCCUACAUCCAUGAUCAACAAAUGUCUAAUAGCUUGAGUUCUUCAGGCAAGGGUCUUUUGAAGAUGAGGUGAAAGAUAUUGUGGAGGUGCCAACCGCAGAGGCUUAUCGUAUGGCAAUGAAAAGUAUGCUAAGAUGGGUGCGGAGGAACAUGGACCGCAACAAGACAAGGGUCUUUUUCACCGGCAUGUCACCUUCCCAUGGAAAGUGAGUCAGAUUACAAUGAAUUUUAACCUCUGUACACACACACACACACACACACACUCACUCUUGCAUCUGCGUACACAUAGUUUGCCAGUUUUUGGUGAAUCACCUAGUAAAUUCAAUGUAAAGUAAAAUUUCUAAGACUUGAAAAGUUGUAGUCGAAGUUCGUACAAAUUUGGGUGGAGGACUAAUAUUUGAAGUGCUUUGGCAGGAGUAUUGACUGGGGAGGUGAACCAAAUGGCAACUGUUACAACCAAACUAGUUUGAUCGAAGAUCGGAACUAUUGGGGUUCAGACUCCCGGAAAAAUAUAAUGGAGGUAAUAGGAGAAGAAUUUAGGAAGUCCAAGGUGCCCAUUUCAUUCCUCAACAUCACCCAGCUCUCGAGUUAUCGCAAAGAUGCACACACGUCAAUCUACAAAAAGCAGUGGAGUCCAUUGACUCCAGAGCAGUUAGCAAACCCUGUUAGCUAUGCAGAUUGUGUUCAUUGGUGUUUGCCUGGUCUGCAGGAUACUUGGAAUGAGCUUCUCUUUGCCAAAAUGUUCUAUCCUUGAUCCUUGAUACUUGUAAAAGAAAAGAAGGGAGAAACAAGAAAAAAGAUACAUUACAAUUGAAUGGUUAAACCCAACCGUAAUAUAUGUCAUUGGAAGACAGAGAGAAGCUGUGUAGAUUUGGUAGUGUGAUUAUGAGAAAAACAGGUGGGGAAUGGCCAUAGGAGAAAAUUGAUUGACAUAUUUUGAAGAUCGUAUAUGAAUGCAAUCUUUUGCUAGAUGUAGGCCUUUGAAGUUCUUUUGUGAUUAUUGUGAAGAUGACCUCUGAACUUUGCACAUCAUCAUCAAUCAGACAUGCAGUGCCCUCAUAAGAAUUUUCUUUUCUGUUUCAACCUACCAAGAUGGUAGUUUAUUUAGUAAUUUGCACAAAUAGAAAAACUUUGGUUUGGUUCUAUUUGAUUAUAUAACAUUGUAAAAUUGGACAUAAACACAAAUACACAAUUCUGUUAUAUUAAUUCUCAUUCUAUGAAAGGUAUCGAGUCGGUUGUCUUAAGACAAACUCAAUCACAUACACAAAGACAACCUCUUCCCAGUCGAUGUAUUUCAUGCAAAAAAUGAAGCCACACCCCUAUGUUCUCUCCUAUUUCUUCUUCUCCUUCCCUCUUCACCUUUCUCAGUCUCAUUCUCUUCUUAUUCUCGGCCAUCCUUUAGUCAGGACCUUAUGUACAUACAACUUCACCUCACAGCUCCAACUCGGCGCCGGCAGCUUCGACCUAGCUAUUACUCAAACCAAACAAUUCAACCUAAUCAAAUUUGGUUUUUCAUGAGUGACCUACAAACGAGAUAUGUUUUUACGGAAAAACUGAGUUGGCUUGUUCUGUGUUUUGGAGUUAGGUAGGAUCAAGGGGGAGAAGCCUUCACUGGCCAAGAUAAGACAAAUGGAUCCGGAGGAAGAAGGGUGUGACAUGUUCAAAGGGAAAUUGGUUAAUUUGGGACGAGUUGUCUGUGCCGUAUUACCAUGAAUCGGAGUGUCGGUACAUUCCGUGGCUUCCGCCACAGUUGAACUUGCCAAGAACAUGGACGGCCGGACAAGGAUUACCAGAAACGGAGAUGGCAGGCUUAAUGUUGUGAUCUUCCCAGGUCAGUUACCGUAUAUGCAUGCUGCCCUAUUCUCUGUUUUCAAUGCAUGCAACUGUUUAAUUUCGUUUGGGACCACAAAGGAAUUUGGCCCGAGAAGUUAAUUAAACCCAACCCAAACAAGAAACCGGACCUUGGCAUUGAGUUCCCAAAGGGUACAUAUAUUGGCAGUUUAAUGAGUUAUCAUUUCUCUAAGUUUCUUCCUAAUGUUUAUAGGAUCACAAUGCCACGAUUGAGUUCUAGUGGGCACCAUAGCUUGAAUCAAACUCAGAUAAUGCCGGAGGUGAAGUGGUGAACCAGGAGGCAACUGUUACAAUGAAACAAGUUUGAUUGAAGAUCAGGACUAUUGGGGUUCAGGGUCUCCUAAAUAUGUAAUGGAGCUAAUUGGAGAGAUGCGUUCAGCAAAUCAAAGGUGCCUGUCGAGCUAUCGCAAAGACGCGCACACGUCAAUAGCCUGGGAUCUUCAAGGUACUUGGAAGUUGGAAUGAUCGAGCUUCUAUGUGCAAGAAUUUUCUUAUUCUUCUACUCAAAAAUGGUGUGUACGUACGUAGCUACUGCUGGGAAAUUCUUUAGUUUUCUAAAGUUGGAUUAAUUUAUAUAUAAAUUAAUAUGAAAAUUAGAUGUAUGAUAUAUAAUCGCCUGCAAUUCGCAAAGAUGCAUGUACACUACUAUCCAUAUUAUAAUCAAAUUUCAUUUAAAACUAAAUCUUUACUAGCUAGGGUUCCUUCACCUUGCUGAUCAUGAUCUCUGUCCACUUGCAAUAGUAGUUGCACGUACAUCAGAAAAGAUACUGAUUUCUGAUUUUUCUACGAGUUUAGGUAUCUCUAAAAACAACUAAAAUCUUUGUUGAAUUUCAAUAUUUGCGAUUUUAAACGAUAUUAACCAACCGAUAUAUUUAAAAACACGAACAUUUAGAAAUUUGAUUAAGAAGUACUCAUUCUUUUCUCGACUAGAUCUUUUGUUAUAUGGUUGAUCUAUUUUUUGGCCUUUAAAUGUUGAACUAUAUUGAGAAUAUGAGACCUAAUUAGAAAAUAAUUUAAUUUCGUAAAGUUAUACGUAUUGGAUCGAAUUAACUUAUAAAGAACAAACAAAUUAUUAAGCUAUAUAUGGUUAAUUGUUGCAUCCAUAAAUCUCAAGCAUAAAUUCGUAAGCUCCUGGUCAUCUUGAAAACUCAGUCGAUCUUGUUUACUAAUUCAUUUUUGAAAACGGCAGCUAGUGAUCACGUACAACUAAUGGGAAAAAUUGGGAUCCUCUGGACCUUGCAAUUAGACGGUGGCUUCCUUGCAAUUAGACGGUGGCUUCAAGAAAAUUUCAGCAAUGAAUUAAUCCAAGUUUUUGGUUUGGUCUAGUCAAAUCAAACUCGUUGGUCGACACAGACUAAUACGGAGGGCUUUGAUUUCAUUUCUUCCAAAACAAGAGUGGCAUCAAAGACAUUAUAAUUUUGCAUCCAUUUGCCAACUUGCUUAAUCAAGUUGCAGAGAAAGAAAAAACCAUCUUGGUAGCUUGUUACUCAUCACAACAACAUAUAGUACACGAGGAAGAAGAUAGAAUAUAAAAGGAGGUAGCUAGCUCAAGUUUUCUGCAACUUGUUCAUUAUAAAAGUCAAGUUGCAAUCUUUGCCGAUAGCUUAAUUAGCUGGGUUUAGCCAAUUUGAUUCGAUCAAUCGCCAAAAUCAAAUUACUGUUUGUAGGACUAAUAAUGCAAUAUAUAUCCAAAUUCUGCGUGCAUGCACUUCCAUGGAAAAAUUCCAAUAUAGCAAGCUAGGUACAUCUUAAUUAUUAUUUUUCUUUCUUAUAAAAAAAAAAAAUUUAUUUUUCUAAUAACAAGCUGUGCCGGACUGCCUGCAUUCGUAUAUAUAAAUAAAACAGAAAAAUCAAGUACAAAAUACACCAAAUAGAACCCUAAUUAUAUAUAACAAUAAUGGAGCCACGUAACAGUUGUUCUUUAAAUGAUAUCACAUGAUACAAUUGAAAAUAGUUCAUGUACAAGUACAUAUAACAUAUGUACAUUUCACAUCGAUCAUAACUAUUAGUACUCUCUUCCUUUCAAAUAUUUUUUGUAUAUAUUUGUGUUAAAAUAUCCGUUAAGUUUCUUUAAAAUCUUACAUAUAUAGAUGUUAAAAGUUCAGAAAUAUGCACUGUAAUUAUGCGAUAAACGUAAAAUUGUGCCUCUCAACCUUAUACAUUCUCUUACGAACAAUGGUAAACUGGUAAGUGAGCUAAAGUCCCAUAAACCACUAUUUUCCUUUUCUUAAUUUUUGGCCUUUGCCUUUAGAAAUCUUACUUGAAUAUCAAUGCAUAUGUAUGUCCAGAUUCAAGCAAGAUGAUCAUUGCCCUCUUCUGUCUUUGACACUGCACAAUAUCGGUGUUCGUGCGAAUCUUCACACUUUACAGCCGUUUCUCAUUGGCAUUUACGUACGAUUAUAUUCAAAAGUAUAUCAUUUAGCUACAAAUUUUCUUAAUUAGGGUGCUCGAUCAAAUAACUAGUACUUAAAUUAGUACAUGCAACCCCAAUGCGUACCAUUUACUAGUAACUGCAGCUAGUCUGCUACUGAUGAAUCUCAACACACAGAAAAUACAUAUACGCAAGCACACCAAUUCAGGCAGAUUGAUAUAGGCACAGAUAUAUAUCUCACAAAGCUAAAGAGAACCUCAUGCAAACUAGGGUUGCAGUUACGUAUUUGAGAGGAAACACAAUGGAUCGGAGCACAGUGAGAAAAAUCGAUCUAAUAGCAUCUUAGUCGUAGUUACUUACUUACAUACUUACAAGCACACACCCUCGUUCAAGAAAGGAAGAAGAUCCAAGAUCGGAAACAAUAAACAAGAAAAUUGAAGAGGGGAUACGAUAUGAGAUUAUAUUAUACCAUGAACAGGUACUAUGGUCAAGAAAAACAGGAAAAACAUGCAGAGCCCCUAUACACAUACACCAUUCGACAACAUCUGACCAUUUCCAACCCUACAACGAAUCUACAAUUGGAAACCAAAAAAAAAAAGAAUGAAUCCUAGUGAUCGAUCUCAUAUGAAUUAUUCUGGAGCUUUGCUCAUACUCUCGGCGAUCUGAGCCAACGACUGCAAGUUACAACGUACGAUGGUGUCCGCAAACACGCAGGUCUCCUCUUUCGUGUUCCCCGCCGGCACGUCGACGACGUACGACUCCACGACUACGGUUCCGGUGCCGUUCGAAGAAGCGUGUAGUGUCGUGACGGAGCGGUAGUUCCUCAGGCGGUGGUCCCCGCCGACGACGCUGAAGCUGAGCACGUGACGCUCGUCGUCCAGAAUCUCGAGUCUCUCGGUGCUGGAGGCCGCGGGGAGGCCCGACACCACGAGCACCUCCCGGAGCGUGCCGACCUUGGCGGGGUCUCCGCCGAUGACGUGGCAGCUCUUGAGGAAGUGCUUGUAGGCUUGUGGGUUGUCGAAGCGGCGCACGACGGACCACACGGAAGGGACGGGGGCGUCAAUGUUCUGCACCACCACGGAGCAGCACUGGUUCGGCAAGGCCAUGGCCGAGUACGCGUGGUGGACGGCCACGGAGUCCGGUAUGUUGACGGCGCGUGGGGAAAGAGGAAGGACCUGCAGGCGGGUGACGGCUUGGGACUGUUUGUGGCUGAUGGCCGCGGCCGCCGCGGUUGUUAUUGGGUUAGGGGAGUUGAUUCUCUGGAGCUGAACUGAGGAAGGCAUUUGCGCCGAUCCGACUCGCUCUAUGAAGCUGGGGUGUUUAUGGACAAAGCUUGGUUUUAGGGUUAACGGGGGAGAGAGAUAUAUAUGAUCAUGGAAUGGUGGUGGUGGGAGAGAAAGAGAAAGAGAGGAAGAGAAGGAGGGUGGAUUUAUGUGGGUUUAAUAAUGGUGUUGUAGCUUUGAGUUGGUUCGUUCCGCUCCACUUGGAUUAGUUUUGAUGGCUUUGUUUCCUCGGACAGAGAAAGAUGAUCACAGAGCUUACGCCGGACGAGCAAGUGGAUCCUCAACUUGCUGCUAUCCUCCCCUCCUCCUUUGGACUUUGUGUAUGUUUAGCUUGAUUAUCUCUUUUUUUCUCCAACUAUGCCAAUUCUCAUUCGUUAUUUAAAAUUUUAAAUGUAAAAUUUUUCACGUAGUGAAAAUGCAAGAAUGAUGGUUGGUGAAAAUGGUAAACAAGUGGGGGAGCGGAUUUCACACACAAAUGUAAAUUUGCACUAUUAAUGUGUAAGUCACGCCGAUUAAAACUGUAAAGGUAGAAAAUGAAAAUUCUUAUUAAUUAAUUCCUCGUAUUUUCAUUUUUAAUCCGAUUAGAUUAACCAUUUAUAAUAAGAGAACAUUUUCUUUGUGUCCUCACUUUCUGUGUUUGAAACACAUAGCUAGACUAGAUUUUUGGGUCACGUAAAUGAUUGGUUUGGAUUAAAUAAAAGGCUAGAUUAUUACGUAUAUAUUGGUUGCUCGAUUCGAUCACCUUCACGUUUGACGUGUAUAAGAAUUUUCGGUACAGAGUUCUUUGACCAAUGUAAUAGAGCUUUAAUUUCCUCGACAUGCGCUAUUAGCAACAAAACUAAUUCACCUUUAAUUGGUUAAGUUUAUGUAGGAAAAGGAUAGUGCUUGAAGUAAUGGAGCACUAAUUUCCUCGACAUGCACUAUGACUAAAAGAUACUACGUGAUGAAACUAAUAACUUACCUUUAAUUUGUGCAAAAUUAUGGUACAAUGUCUAUCAUGGUCAACAUAUCAAUGUAAACAAAACCCUUAGCUUUCUUCCUAAAAACCCUAGCUUUAGGCGAAAGAAUAUCGUAUAAGAAAGUUACACUCUAGUACGUAGUAAUUGCAUACUCUCCUAUUCUUUAAUUUCAUUGUUUAAAAGAUAAGCAGAAGUCGAAAAAAUCCAAAUUAAACGAAGAUCAAUGAGAAGUUUGGACAUUCUUCCUUUACUGUUUCAUUCGACCUUCUCCAAAAUCCAUUCUAUUACACUAAUUAAUCUCUGAGCUUAGUUAGAAAACAGUUGAGCUGUCUCAAACAUUUUUCUGCAAAACUUAUAUAUAUGCAAAUAGCUAGAUCUUUAUCAAGUUAUCAUGACAAUAUUUUGGUGCCUUUUGACUUAUCAGCGCCAUUGUGGUUGUCCAUAUGAUAUUUAUAUGUACAGUUCGUCAUCUUGUUUAAACUUGUAUAGCUUAGUUUCAACUUUUAGGAGUUUCCACCAAACAAAACAGAUUCGGCAUGCUUGGCUUGAAUUCCGACUAUCCACUACUCGACAUUCGUAUAUAUUGACUGCCAGAAAAUCUCAUCGAUCAAUUAAUCAAAUUAUCCACCAUGCAUAACAAUAUCCACUUGCUAUUAAUAACAACAUUUUCCCCAAUUGGAUUCAAUUAUCCACUAACAACUUUUAAUGCAUAAUAGUUAAUUUGCUGCUUAAUGUGUAUAUAUGGAUUUGAUGACUUAAAGAUUGUCGAGAGUCAUGUCAGAACGCUUCCUUGGCAACUAAAAAUAAAUUGAGAUUUAACUCCCGUUAAUAUCGACGAGAUUCAAACCUGAAUAUGCGGGUUUCACAUCAAAGUUCUUACCAACUCGACCAUCUGUGAUGAUCGGCUAGAUUAGUAACAUAUGUACUCUUCUUCGUUCUUUAAGCCUUCAACUGGGUUCUAUUUUAUUACCCAGAACAACUUUCCGCUUUCUCUAUUCUUCCCAGUACGUGGUUGAAUUUACUUUACUAUCUUUCCGCGUGAUUCCCUCAACUUUCCUUUCCUUUUCGUCCUUGUUCAGUUUUUCUAAUUCCACCAGCCUUCACCAACUUGAUCGUUUUCAAAGUUGGAACCCACUCCUUUCAGUCUUUCACAUGCAUUUGGAUUUGGUACUCUCCCAACUACACCCUUUGCUUGAUGCCUUUAGUUUUGCAGUAGGUAAAUUCUUUUCAAGUUUGAACAGUACUAGGGUAGGGUGGCGUUGAUCAAACUCAAGUUGGUAUUUCACUAUUUCAUAUGUUUUCACAAAGCGAGACAUAAAAAACCAUAUAUUAUACACCCUCUUUUAAUUUGAUCUCGGUUAGGUUUAAAAUGCAAGUAGAAUAGACGUUUACAGAACAGAGUUCAACGAGAUAAAAAUUUCAGUUGAAAAUUAUAACAGAGCCGUCGAUGAUGUAACAGAUGUUAAAAAGGAUUGUUAGUAAUAAUUUCAAUACCAUUAACAAGAUACCACCUGCGCGUUGCUGCGGGCUAUGAUUUCUUGAUGAUGAAUAAUAUUCAAUCCCCAUCUCAUGCCUCCCAUGUGCCGCCACCUUUUUUAAAUCUUAGGACAAAAACACAAUUCACCCGGACUUGGGGCAAAAACACAAUUCACCAAAGUUAUAAACAGUAGUGAACAAUGUUUUUCCCCUUUAUUGUUUUAGUAUAUAGAAUUACCGUACUAUUCUCUGUUCAGCUGUUCCAUUUUCGGGGCAUGCUUGGUUAAAAGAUAGGUCAGGAAGGUAAAAAUGUAGUGAUCGAAAAUGCAUAGAAACUUCGACUACUUUUCGAAAUGAAAUCUUAAACACCGUACCAUUUCAGGGUGAUCAAAGGGAAUGCUUCUGCUGUUAUAUUACAUUAUCCUGAGCGAUGACCACUGUACGCUGUGUAAUCAGGAAGCUCUUAUGCAGCAAUCUAACCACAUCUUGGAUGGAGUCAAGCACAAUCAGAUCAUGAAAAAGAAAAAGGAAAGAAAGAAGCUAUUCAGAUUAACACUUUCGUUAUGACAUUAAGCAUCAACACUUAUAUAAUGCAUGCAGUUAUGCCCAGAACUUUGGUAAGUUUUGAACCAAAUUUGGUUGAACUUUCAUCCCAAACCUACCCACCCCCAUGUGCCAAUAUAUCUACUGAUAUCCAUACCUUAUAUAAGUUCUAGCAGACCGGGUAUAUUACAAUAUCAGCAUACACUACAUAAGUUCAUAACUAUCACCCAUUAUCUUGAUGAAAACUACAACAACACAAGUUCAACCAAAAGAAAACUUGAAAAGAUGAGAACAACGUGCGGUACUGGAAAUUGAAGAAAGCUGUUAGUGCGAACUGCAAAGACCUGGGUUUUGAACUCAUAUUAUGCAACUUUGUCCUGUCUUGACAUUAGGCAGGUUCUUUUCCGGAUUAGCUUGUUUAUCCCAACAGGAGUCAUUAGCUGCUUUCAACUCCAAAUGUGUGGUACUUCUUGUUAUAACUGUUGCAGUAUUCUUGUAACACUUUCUGCCGUACGUGGUGAUGCCUACACAUAAACAUAAAGUAAUUCAUGACACAAUCAAUUAUACAUUAGCCAGUAUAUAUACAAUGUUUAACAUUCUUUUUUUCCUCGUCCCCCUAGAAAAAUUCUCACUUAGAAUCUAACCCAACCUCGACCCAUGUCUAUUGUUCUUCACGUACUAUUUUUAUUAAAAUCAAAUUUAAAAGUUAAUAUGCAACAGGGAAAUUGACAUAGAAACAAGGCGAGAAUAGCUGGAAGGGUUUUGAGCAGUCCUUACCUCUACGAAGUAUGUGUUGAAGCCUUUUCAUUUUUCAUGAUCAUAUGGAAUGCCUUACUCUUAUCUUCACCCACCAUCUCCCUCAAUAUAUCAUCUUCAAUCUUCUCAGCUUGCCAGCGAGAAGGAUCCUCCACAAAUGCCUCACUGAAUAUCAUGCUGGAUACCCACUCUUUCCAUGUAGUCCUUCUGUACUUGUCUUCUUCGAGUGUUCCUGUUGCCAAUAGCUGAUAAACAUACACAACCUUUUGCUGACCAGGCCUAAAAGCUCGUGCUAUAGCUUGCUUCGUCUUCGAAGGGUUCCAUUCGGAGUCCAAUAAGAUAACCCGAGAUGCAGCUGUCAGACUAAUGCCUUCAGCACAAGCUGUGAUAGAUGCAAGCAGAACCCUUGAGGCUCCACCUGGUUCUUCAAAUUUGUCCAUAACCUUUCCACGUUCAAAUAACUCAAGAUCCCCGGUCAGAACCAAAACUUCUCUGCCUCGCUCCCAUUGAAAGACCCUCUCAAACAAUUCUAGAAAGAGUUUCACAGGUGCAAUGUUGUGGCAGAAGAUCAAAACCUUUUCUUUUCGAGUAACACGGUAAACCAGGUUCAAAACAAACUUGACUUUGGACCCUUUGUGCAAAUCAUACUUGUAUUGCUCAAGUGCCAACAGUUCUUCAGGACUAAAGAACUUAUCAGCACAAGCUGCAGUUUUGAUUAGCCAAGGAUGUAUUGAUCCAAGGGUGAUCAGAAGUUCUAGUUCCAAGGGAUACCCUUUGUACGUGGCCAUUAUUUGUUGCAGUCUAUCCAAAAUCACUUGUUGAAUGUCAGUGGUGUUCAUCAACAAGGUGUAAAUCUGUAGACCAGGAAGGGUGUCUGAAUUCCCACCUUCAUACACAUCUAUAAAUCUGUUUGUUAUCUUUCUCAGCUUGUUGAGACCUUCAAUCCUCUGAUCUUCCCCUUCGUUUGAAUCAAUUUUCUUGGCAAUUUUAUCCAAGAACAACUUUCUGGCUCGAGCUUCCAUCAAAUGGCGUGCUUUGUCUUUCAGUGCCUUCUUUUUCCUUCUGUAUUUUGGGUCCAAUGCCUUCAAAACUUCAUUCACAAACUUUGGCCUUGCUAAACAAAGUGUGUUGAAGUAUUCACAGAAAUUGUUCUGAAACAAAGUACCUGAAAGCAAUAUUCUCAAGUCAGUUUCAACUUUCAUCAAUCCCUUCCUCAACCUUGAUUUGGUACUUCUGGGGUUGUGCCCUUCAUCUAGAACUAGGAUCCCUGGACUUUCCCUCAGCACUUGAGCCAUAAAUCUUCUGUGGACAAACUUUGAAUCUUCACGCAUCAAUGUUAGGAAAGAAGUAUACCCCAUGACAAGUACACUAGGUUGUGCAUGCCACUUCUGUAUUUUUUCUAGGCAAUCGAGAACAUGCAUCACAUCAUCAGUUGGCUUCGGGCCUCUUGUAUAGCUUGCUGAGUUAUUCCUGAACACUCGAUAGGUUCUACGACCGUGAAUUAGAUAAACAGGAAUAGGAAUGUUCCAUUUAAUGAAUUCCUUGUACCAGGUGUAGAGUGUUGUCUUUGGAGCAAGGACUAAAGGUCGUUUCCCAGGGAACAACUUCAGGUAGCUAACAAGAAAUGCAAUGAUCAAGAAAGUUUUCCCAGCUCCAGGAGUAUGAGAUAUAACACAGCCACCAUUUUUCUUGGAUUUCUUUUCCAUCAAUGCUGGUUCCAUAGAUCCUGCAAUAUUCUUCCAUAAAAAUUCAAAAGCCUUUUUUUGGUGGAAUAGCAGUUUCUUUCUAAGUUCAGGAAUUAAAGCCCAAACAUUUUCAUUUUCUUCUGGAACAGGCUCAUCCACAGGUAUAUCACGUUUGUGGAAGAAAUUGAAUUGCUCAUAUUCAGCUCUUUUAGGAUCUGGAUCUUCUUCAUCUGGUUUUUUAUCAUCUGUGAACCCACACGGGUUUCGCACCUAAAGAUAUAAGCAAGAAAUUAGGUGCAGUUGAUAAUGUUGCAAACAGAUCUGCCUAAAUGAAACUCCUCAUCAAAAAAAAAAAACUGAAACUCAAAAUUCUGUCAUACAAAUUGAGCAUAGAGCACAUAGAGCAGAACAAGGAAUGUGAUAUAAACAUUGCAUGCAAGUCUCUACAGCGACUUACAAAGGGGGGUGUUACAUGUCUGAUUUCAGUCUUCACAAAGCCACAUAUAAUGCACUUAAGCCCAAUUUCUUCAUCCAAAGUGAACUCAUGCUGGCAACCUGGACCUGAAUUUUGUCUAAAGUUACCUGAAGUCGCACCAUUUGAUUCCUGAAAAGUAGAUUCAGCAGUUCAAAUGUAUUAAUCAUUGUGCAGUAAGAGAACUUCCCCAAAGAAUACAUAAUUUAAUAUUUUUGUUCAAAUGUUGAUGAUAAAGCUACUGAAAAUUAGAUGCCAGUGAAAAUCCUAAUAUUAUACCUCAUCACCUAGAAGAUAACAUGAUGCCAAUACUAAAUCAAAUUCUUUCCACAGCCUAUCCUCCUCAGACAUUUCCUCCUCCUGCUCAUCUUCUGGCAUUUCAGUUUCGUCCUUUUGGUCAAAAUUCUUUUUUUCCUUGAAAUUUUUCCACUGGUCCAUAAUGUUUGGUUCUUGCUUGUUUGAGCAAUCCAUGUCUUUCAAGAACUUAUUUAUCAGCUCCUUGUAUGCACCUGCAUUUAAGGAUCUCUUUGAAUAAGCUCCAGUAUACCGAUCUGUCCUUUUUGUUCGUAUAGGGGGAUGAUGAUAUGCGUUAUGAUAGCCUCUUCUCUGAAAUCUGCUAGAGGAUGCACCUCCAUCCCAUUUUGUAUGAACAUCCAUGUCUUCCAAGCCAGCAAUUUUGUUUCUUUUCGGUUUCUGUGCUUUAGAAGUACUGAAACGAUAAUAAUGCUUGGCAGAAAAUUCACCACUGUCUUUUGAACGAUUUGCAGGACCAUUGGCUUUUGGAGGAAAGCCAUUAGCAUUUGGAGGAAAGUUUCCAGGGGUUAGCUGAUCACAUUUGACAGACGCAGGAACAAUGGCUAGUUGAUCAGCUCGACAUUUCUUUGUCUUAUUUUUAGCCACACCUGAUUUCACUUUCAUCCACUUAAUCUUGCUUUCUUUGCAUUCAAAUAGAUCAUCAUUGUCACUGGAGUUUGAUCGCUUCCUCUUAGAAUCAGCGUUUUGCUCUGCCUCAGUACUAUCCUCUUCCAACGAGGUGCUUGUCUUCUUACGAAAAAGGUAUGAUAGUGGUAAGUACAACUCGUCAUCAGAAUCAUCUCGUGAUUGAUCUAUCUUAUAUGGCCUGCUACGAAUGGGGCCUAUUUGUAUCUCAGAGGGAGCAUCACAUGCAAGGAAACGAUCAGGUUGUGUCUUUCGACGCUUGGAACGCCGCAAUUCUGGAAAAUCAGAAGUUGGAGAUGGUCUAUCUUCAUGCAUGUCACAAGCAGGAUCACCCCCAGUAGAGUCAUCUGGAACCAACUGAAGUAUUAUAGGUACUGGGAUCCCAUUUUCUACUCCGAAAUUCACAGCUUUAAAAGAGUUUCCAGAGUCUGAUGGAGUUGUGUCAUCAUUACCACUAAAAAUUUGAUACACAAUCUUGUUCUGCACUGAUCUUACAUCAAAUACAAUCUGCUUCAAGGAAGAUGUAACAAGCAACCAUGACAGGUCGGAUAAGAAUUUCCCCAAUAGCAAUUUAGUGUUUGGCAGAGAAGAGCUGUCCACAGAGCGAUCCCAACGGUAAUACUGAUUUCUACAAGAAUUCCUGUCAAGCCUUUGUAAAAUGAAAACCUGAUCAAUUCCAAUAACUUCAGUUUCUUUUUUGAGUGUUGCUCUCUCUGAACCUAGAGGUCCUUGGUUAACAUAAAAGUUGACAUGAAAUCGGCAUGAGCAUUGAGAGUCAUGAGGCCCCCUUUCAAUAGAACUUAUUCUAGCAUCAACACAAAUCUGCAUCAGAAAGAGCACCUGUUACUCAGAAUCAAAAAUCUACACCUAACAGUUAAAAUAUUUGGUAAGACUAUUAUCUUUUCUUUCUGUUUUGGUUCACCCUCUCCAUAUGAUACAUGCAGGGUCUUCCUCUGAGGUAAUGUUUGGUUAUUGUUAUUAUUUUGCCAUCAUGUAAGGAUUAGGGAUGUUUGAAAUUAGACUGCUACUCACCGCAUCUCGCCUUUUCUCAUCCGAACUCUCUGUAUGAUCAGAGUUUGAAAGCACACAAAUAUCAACACUGGGCCUCAACAAGCAAAUGCAAUCAUAUAAAGUUGCUCUUCUUGAUCUUACUCGAAGGUUGGCAAAUGGACCUUUAUCCUGAAUCACACAGGGAUGGUCUACAAAUUUCAUGUUCAUAGUUCCAUUGCUAAGUCUUAUAAGUUCCACGCCUUUCCAUGAUCCACAGCAAAGAGCCUCAAAGGCUGCCAAGGUAAAGAUUGAUUGUAAGAUUGAUGAUAAGAUCAUAAGAAAUGUUACAACAUACCACUCUUAAAAAUCAAAUGUUUCACCGGAAGUGGAAUUAUGAUAACAUAAAAGCAUGAGCUAGUGUCUAAGAGACAAAAGAACUGAAACAAGCGCCAUUAUCCUUGCAUUAUACUAAAACUGACAUGCAUCAAGAGCUGUGUUCUUAAAUUAUUUCAAAAUCUAACUAAUGAGAAAUCAUUCCCCUUUCUUUACAAGGAAAAUUCAUUUCUUUUAGAAAGAAUGACUGGUUGCUAGCUAUCGAUGAGUAUUAGCGGCAAUGCGGGUCCCAACAUUAUCUCCGCUCUUAAGGCCAGAAGUCGAUAUGUGCCCAUGGGCAUUGGACUAUAGUAGUGUUCAUGAUGGUAUAUACGAAAAUUUGAUUCUCAUAACUUCAUGCUUUGAGCCUAGUGUUAGAAACAAAAAUGACUAGACAGUAACAGACAUUUCAUUAACCCUGAGAUAACCAGUAAAAUGAAUUCAUUUGAAACAAUGAGAUCACAUUGAAUAUUGCAGUUUUAACCUGGUUCUUGCUGAACUCCCCAGAAUUCUCGACAAGCGUAUUACUUAUUAUAGGAAUUUAAUUUGGAAAGGAAACAAAAACUGUGCAAUUAAAAGAAAAAUGCAGACAGAUGCUUACGAUGAGCAUCAAAUGGAUGCUUAGCUCGAUACAGAUGCCUCUUUAUCUUCAUUUUGAUGUCAAGCCUCCCGUAUCCGCAACACAAUGCCAAUCACUAUUGACUAAUACUGCACACUUCAAACAUCAAAACCUCACAUUAUUAUGCUUGCCGGCUUUCAAAAUAGGUUCACAGUUACGUUACUACUUGCAGAUAUCUAGGUCACACAGUUACAACAGCAUAUCCAACAUAAUUAUAGUGAAGAAGUAUUUUCCUUUUUCACUAUUAUUAUAAAGUCCAUGAAAAAAAGGAAAAUGAUCGACUUUCAAAACGUAAAAACAAUUCUUUUUUCAUUUUACCCAAAAGUAAAAUAAUUCAGUCAAAUAAUUGGAGAGAGAAAGAGAGAGCCUCUACAAUUACAUAAUAGAUUUCAGUAUUAAGAAAUGACAACCUUUACAUGCAACAAAAGUAAAAGAAAAAAAAAGUAAAAUUUGUUUCUUCAUGUAGUAAAAAAAAAACACGCAAGCUCUGCAGACUCCCCAGAAAACAAGAGAAGUAGAGAACCCAAAACAGUCAUAAACUCCAUAAACAACCUUAUACCAAAAACUACGAACCACUAACAUAUCUGAAAUGAACACAAAACCAAUCAAACUCAAACCCCAGUUUCCUGAUCACGAUUCCUCUCCAAAAACCAAACACAAACAAAUAGCUUUAUAGCUUUUAUCAGCAAGUAAACGAAUAAGAAAACGUACUCUGAAACAAAAUCAAGCUGGAAUCAAAGCUUCAUGGCCCCAAAUGGUAGUCGACAAUAUGAGGAGUUGGAUGAUCGGAGCUAUGAUUGUUCCGGCACCGGAGCUCAAAGGCGGACAUGUUGCGAUGAAGAUGGAAUCAUUUACACAGUGAUAGUGGGCAUUGGAGUGAGUGAGAUAGAGAGAGAGAAAAGUGAUGGAAUUGACAGUGGUGGAGAAAUCCAUAUAUUAAAAGUCGAGACUGAAAAGAAAGGGGUGCCUUGAAAUUCGGGUUUUUCUGUUUUUUUGCAUGAAGCGCAAAAAGAGGGAGGGUCAGGGGCAGUGGGGUGUAAAUAAUGGACGUCGGGGUGGGCGGUCUGGGGAGGUGGUAAGUAGAUCGGACGGCUGUGGUUGAGGUGAGUGGGGAAGUCAUGUCAGUGGUGACGGAAACGAUGACAAUGAAUUCGCAACAAACUCUCACACAAGGUUGUUGGUCGCAGAUUCUAUCCGAAUUUAAAAUUGGUGUGAAAUGCAUUUGGUCAAGUAUUUGACCGGGUCAUGGCCCAAAAGCCAAUAUGUCCGUUUGGUUUUUUCAAAAUGCACAAGAGCUUCGGGUCCGGCCCAGACCAAUACGCUCAUUAUUAUCACCCAUCGAAAGUGGGGUGAGUAAAAUUUUCUCAACCCCAAACGCAAUAUUUUGCUCCUCGUUAACUUUUAUAGGAAACUACAAAGAAGAGUGAAAUUUACGUACCGUCAAUUGUAAUUCACACGUUGUAAAACAAAUACAGGUAUGAAAGUUUUAGUAGAGAAAGAAAUUAAGAGUAUCUAUAACAGUUUUUUCAAAAUUUCUUUAAAAUGGGAAAACAAAAACCAAAUCUUUAAAAAAAAAUUACUUAAACUCCAACAGCUUUCCCAUUUUAAAGAUUUUGGCAUUUAUUACUACAAGAAAAUAUUCUACAUCAUCUUUAAUUAUAACAAUAGAAAUAGUCUAUAUUUUAUUAUAACAAUAAAAAUAAUCAAUAAAAUAUUUUAUAUUAUUUUCUUCUCAUUGGAGCAUGAGGAAUUUAUGAUAAUUAAUUUCAAUAAUUUGGAGAAUGAAAGCUUUGCUGCAAAUUUGAUGAAUGAAUGCUUCUCUUUCUUCCUCAUCCCUAUUAUGAGGAAUGAGACGAGAAAGUUGUUGGACCACAAAACACCUUAAAAUUAAGAAAAUCAAUAAAAAUGAAGAAGCUGUUGGAGAUGCUUUAAAGAUCGGUGUUUGGUUGCUAGAGUCCGGAAGUCAUGUGUGAGUGGAUCCACGAUACUGUUGUCUUGAUGUUAUGGGCAAAGAUUAAAAUAUUUGUAUCAGCAUAUUUAUCGGUACUUUGAAAAAGUGAGAUAUCGGAUAUUUCGAGGAUAUAUCGAAGAUAUUGUGGAAAAAAUAUCAGAAAUUCGGGAAGAAUUUUGUUCUAAUUAAUAAAAUAUUUAAUUUAUUUUUUUGAAAGAUAAAAUAUUUAAUUUAUUGAAUUUAUUUAUAAAUUGUACAAACAUCAACUUUAUCUACAUCUAGAAAUAAACUCCAAGUGGUUGAAAAUAUGUACGAUGGUGCACAAAAGUAUAGUAUUCAGACCGAAAAGAAUAACCUUACGAAUUGUACUGUUGAAUAUGAUAGUCGCAUAUUUUUUUGGAGCUAUCAACUGUUCCCCUUAUAUCUCUUUUCGAAUAUUGUUGAUGGUGAUUCUUGUUUACAUCUAAAUUUUUUACAUAUAUUUAUUUAAUAUAUCAGAGAUUUAUCGUAAAUUUCCUAAAUAUUAGAGAUAUAUUGACGGAAUCAGAGAUAUUUGACAGAAUCGGUGGAAAAUAAGAUAUUUACCUCUCUAGAUAUAUCGUAUAUUUCUUUAAUAUAUCAGAGAUUUAUCGUAGAUUUCCUAAAUAUUAGAGAUAUAUUGACGGAAUCGGAGAUAUUUGACAGAAUCGGUGAAAUAUAAGAUAUUUACCCCUCUAAAUAUAUCGGUCACUCCAAAAAAAGAGAUAUCGGGUGAUAUAUCGGAUAUAUUGCAGAUAUUUUAAUCCUUGGUUGUGGAUAAGUGCUCCUAUUUAUCCUUUAUUAUAAUUAGUUAGACUAAUCUUGUUUGACCACUUCCAUUCUAUCUUGUUCGCGAAUUUAUUCGACCGUGGCCCAAUUUGACAAGAACCCAAUUCUGAUUGUAGGCCAAUCCGCUUUGAGUGGAUUAAUGUUUUGAUGGAUUAUGUCUCACUGACGACCCAGCUCACUUUGAGAGUUCGAGGAGAACUGCUUCCUACCAACUUUACUCUAUUCAUCCACAUCCAUCCAACCUGCAUUUUAAUUAGAAUUCUAUCUUUAAGCACAACAAAAAUAUUUGCUCAAUUGCUCCCACAAAGAGAAGAAGAGGGCUCUGUUUUUCUGAAAACCAAGAACCCAGAAUGCGAUUCCGAGAUGGAGGAUCAUAAUAAGAACUUAAGAAGCACAGUAGUGAGGAGGAUCGACCUGUGAGAGUUUAGCCAAGCUGCAUCGUAAUUGUAGAGAUUGCAUGCCCCGAACGCCAUGUUACUGGAUUAGACAUUGCACGCAAUGCCAUUAACAAGGCCCUCCAGGUCUCUCCUGUUGAAUCUGUGCUCAAUUAUGUAUCCUCUAUGCUGCCGGUUUGGAAGAAAUCUUUAUGCGGCAAAUACAUAGAGUUUCAACUUUGCUACUAUAGAGGGCUCCACUAAUUCCAGAAUCCUCACUACAUUCACAAUCUCCUCCCAACGCUCUACAGUGAGAAUUGACAUCAGUUCCUAGCUUGCCAUCAAUUUUUUAUUGGUUCAGGCGGUGAACAUAAGCAUCACCAACAUAAUCCCAGAAUCUGUUGGCUCUUCAAGUUAAGAGAAUAGCAGUGCUUUGUAUCCUCAUAAUGCCUAACAGCGUGUUGGCCUUGUUUAUAUCUUUUUAUUGAAGGAAAAAUAAUUAUCAAUUACGAUCCACUGGUCAAAUACAGAAAAUAUUUCAACAAUUAAGAAUUUGCAGGGUGAUUACGAUCUAGCUAUAGAACACUGACAAUUAAGAACAAGAAACGCUGCAAAGAAAGAACAAUGCUUUUGCUUUUCCUUUUUAUUAACAUAUUUUCAUGAAUUAUGCAUAUUUUUAUAUCAAGUACGACUGUUAUACACAAUUUGUCUCACUUCAUCCCAUCUACAACAAAGAAUCAGUUCAUGGGCUGUCUUAUAUAUCAUAGUCAGAGCAACUGGUUCAUGGAGGAGAAACAUAAAAAUCCUCGAUGCUACAUUCUCUCGUCUAAAAGUCCAGAGAACUAGCUCAUUGACACGAUCAACCCCCAGGAGCAAAAAACAUUUCACCCUACUAAGUAUGUAACCACAACUCUACUGGAAUCCAUUAUCAACACAAGAUAUGGAACCAAGCCAAUGGAGCAGGCUGCACAAACUCUAGCUUUUGACAUUCCCUCAUCAACUUCAGUUGUCAGCUCCUCCAGGGAAAUGAAAAUCAAAAUCAUCCAUGUUGAAGUAUCUGUGGUUGUCUACCCCAACAUUACCAUCCUGCAACUGAAGAUUUAACAAAUCAAAGCCAUAGUCAGCAACAGAAGGCUCCUGGUCCAUAUGCUGAACACUCCCGGAAGUCGUGCCAUCUGGAUACUGCACCUGGUAUGAUGAAUUCGACGGCGUGGCACUCUCAACAGGGGCCGUGUCCGCAAACUGAGAACGACCAACAUCAGAGCUUGUAUCUUGCUGCAAUUUCAGGGUAGGAAUGGGUUUAUCAUCCGUAGGGCCGACUAAGUCAUCCACAAAGAGAAGCUCUUCCAGUGAAAACUGAUUCAAAUAAUUGACAUCAAAACCAAUCCAGUCAAGUGCUUGCUCUUGGACACCAGGUUGAUCUGUAUGAGCGUGAUCCAUAGGAACCUCGCUUUUCACAUCUACAUCCUGUGUGGCAUUAGAGGCACUGGGUUCAGUAUACGCAUUAGACCAAGCACGACUAGUCAAUUCACCCUCACCAUCCUCGGUUUUCACUUUAACGGAUUCCUCCUCUGCACAGACCUCGGAGUGAUCAGACUGAUUAGACAUCGUAGUAGACUCGCAGCAUCCUUGUUUCGCCACCGUAGAACACCCUGAUGGAGUGGUAACUGACGAAGUUUCAUGUGACGAUUCAUUCCAAGAAGACACAUAACUAUUGCGAUUGUUCACAUUAGGCUGGUUAAGGCGGGCAUUGGCACCAUACAUGGCUUUAGCAGCCUCAUCAUAAGCAAGCGCAGCAUCAACAGCCGUGGGGAAAGUACCUAACCAAAGCCUACUCCCUCUGUUGGGCUCUCGAAUCUCUGCAACCCACUUCCCCCACGUCCUCUGCCUAACACCUCUGUAAUUACACCGCUGAUUCUCCGGCCCUCCUUUACCUUUCAUACAACCCUUCUUCGACCCCUUGGACUGUACCUUGCGUAUCUUAUCACCGUAGAUCCCAGCCUCCUUAAGCCUGUUAAUCUCUUUCCACCUCGACAGAGUCUCCUCAACACUGCCUGCAUCGUUUUUACUUCGCCUCCUCUUCCUAGAACUAUCCAAGGGCUGCGAAAACCCAUUCGAACCUUGAUUAUAAGCACCCAUUACUCUUCGCUGGUCUAUAUUAAUAUUCUCAAUCCCUGAAACACUUGGAUUCUUCACAAUCUGCACUAUAACCAAAAAGAUUUGUUAACCACCGCUAGACUUGUAUAUAUAGCGACCAAAUAAACCAAAUAAUUAAUCCAAAAAGGAAUCGGAGUUUUCUUGGGCACCAAGUAGGAAAUCAAAUCCUAAAAGCUAAAGAUUAGGGACUUGGCCCCCAAGUAACCAAAAUUAUACCACUUUUGGGUUCAAGAAACACAAUUAUAUAAAUCCCAACACAACUCCAACCCCCAAUUUUUACAGAACAGAAAACCCCCAAAAUCCCAAACCUCAAAAUUUAAGCAAAUAUAUGAAAUCAAGUAAAUCAAACAGAGAAGAAAGAGAAAAUCAAAGGCUGAGACAACUAACCUCGUGAAACGUUCGCGAUAAAUCCCAAGAUUUCCCGUGAAAAUCGGACUUCCACAAUCAAAACGACACCGCAGUACGCGUUUUGCUCGGUUUGUUCUUCUACUAUAAAAAGAGAGAGUUUUAGAGAGUCGAUAAGCUUCUAAGCAAAUCCAGAAAUUUUCAGGACUGGGAGCUCCGGGAGAUAUUUAUAGCCUUCUCUCCUCUAGAUAUUUCCAUCCUCCAGAUAUUUUUUUAUUGCUUUAUUUCUUUUUUGCGGCUAUGGAUAUAAGUGACGUGGCGCGUUAUCAGUCGCUUUCGUGGCGCUUCGGCCCCGAUCCUGUGGCCACGUGUUCUCCCGAACCUUCCCGAACCACCCGUUUUACGCGUCACUGUAUUGGGACUGAAGCAAUCUGUGUCCUGCUAUUUUUAGCUUCCCUGUAAUGCCCUGAUAAAGUCGUGAAAUUUACGAUUGUGCCACUGGAGAACGGAUGGUUUCCUUUUCCGCUAAGAAUGAAGCUACGCCUUCCACGUGCCUUCGCCCUCGUUAAUGAGGAGUUAGACUUCUGACUUUCGUAAGCAAUUGCAUGUGAGGCACGUGUCACUUUCGGAGCCGGAGACUAGGGUCUUCGUUGUUGAUCCACCACCACGGCAGUGACGGCGCCACCGUACGUGUAAGUGGUGUAACCAGCUUCGGCUCAUGUCAUCAGUGACAUGUUUCAUAUACUUUGGUAUAUUCCGAGAGUGCGUGGUUGCUGAUGCAAGCAUGUGGUUGCUAAAGUGUGAAGUAGAGUGUAGGUGGUUUGUCUAUGUUACUUUGUUUUCAAGGCAAAAACAUUUUUGAUAACAACCAAACGGGGUGUUCUGAGAUGCUAAAAGUUUUAGUCAGUGACUAAUGACGUCUAAUUAGGAGUCAUCAUCAAUUAGGAUUAUGUGUAUUUGGACACAAACGUACAUUUACUACCUUAAGCGAAAAAAGAAAGAUGAUUCAAAACAUCGAGAUAUAUUUUAAUUACAUGAAUAUAUAACUUAAUGAUAAUAGACGUACAUCUAUAACUUCUUGAUCUGUACGUGAGUACGUCUACGACGUCUAGCACUGUCGUUGUGCAAAAUGUACCCGGAGACCAUGGUCGGCCUUCGUUGCUCCCUUAACCAACGUAUGUGUAAUAUUUUAGCUUUUGGCUCAUGGCAUGCAUCAGCGACGUCAUGUUCAUACUCUGGUGUAGUAAAAUGCUAAUGCAGUAACGCGUGUUUGCUCCUGCAAGAGGAAGCAAAUCUGCUGUGCCCAAAAACCCUGUGCCAAACCUGUGCCAUCUACCAAAUUCUGACACCUGUCUCUACCCAAAACAAGCUUAACUCUGUUAACCACAUCAUUAGUUUUAAUAAAAAAUGGAUAAAAAAAAAUCUUAAUUAAAGAUUUCAAGAAUCGAUGUUCGACUCUACCUCUUCCUCUUCCCCUCUUUGUUCUUACGCUUCUUUGUUCUUCUUUCUCUGCUUCUCUGAAAAAAAAAAACCCAGUAUAUUUCUCCUUCUCUCCAACGACAUAGCUGCCGGCUGCCGUGGUUUUAGUUUUUAUUCUUGUUCGUCAUCUUUAUGGCUGGUUUUGGUCGACAUUUGAGUGAUUGACUGACGAACUCUGUUUUCAUAGGUAGACAUAUCUUCUGUUUUCAUAUUUGUGGAUGACAAAUAUUAUUCUUGUUCGUCAUCUUACUCUCUGGAAUGCAUAUCAUACUAAUAUACAUUCUUUAUGUACUGAUAUUCAUUUUAUUCUUGUUUGGUUUAAUGCUGAAGCUUAUGGACACAGAAAAUAGUUGCGAAGAGGUUCAUAUUCAAGCAAACUCACGUCGAAAGUUGGAUUUUUUAGAUGAAAUUGACUUGAACACUUCGGCUGAAGAUGAUAGUGCGGAAGAAAAGGAGUUCGAACCUGUUGAAGGUAAUGAAAAAGUAGAUUAUGUACAUUCCAAGGUUAGAAAAGAGUUGAUUCCAGUCAUUGGAAUGGAGCAUGUUGAACAAGUGUUGUUUGUUCCUUGUAGAAGAUGCACCAUUUUGUGAGUUUAAAUGUCAUUUAGUGGACAUGUACCAUUUUCCCAUCAAUUUUGUAAACCGGAAUUUGAGAAUGGAAUGCUUUAUUUCUUAUGGGAUCAAAACUGAUGAGAAGUUUGAUUUAGCUAAACCCAAAUAACCAUGUUAUUUAAAGGGCAAGGAAUUAUAGAUGCAUAUGGUGAUGACUCAUUGCUCUAGCUACAGGAAACUAAAAACUGAUUGUUUUCAGGGUACUGAAUGCUAAUUAUGCAAGCUAGAAUAGGUCCAUUUUGGAAUGCAUGACUCAUGUAUUUAGGAUAUAAGGGAGGCAAGUAUGUAACUAUGUAAGUUCAUGAUCUGAUUUGCCUAAUCAGAGACGAGGGACCAUCUGGUUUGUCAUAUGAAAUUGAGAAGAGUCCAGUUUUGUCAUCAUUUUCAGCCAAGGAAACAAUCAGCAUCAUAAGAAUAAACCAAAGCCAAGGCACACCUAGCUUUCUCCCAAUCACAUAGAUAUCACCUCCAGCAAUAUCUCACAUCACUUCUUGAAUACCUAAUGUGCACUUCAGCAUCCCAACAAUUCCAAUCAUAACUCGUCAAAAUCAAACUUUAACCUAUAAAAAGAAAAGCCCAGUAGCUCACUACGGGAGUUAAACACAACAGGUUCAAUCAUGUCUCUCCUCCGCAUCUUUGUAGUGCUUCCUCCUCUUCGUCGUAAUACCUUUUCAGUUCUUCUCAUCGCAAUCAUGUCUCUCUUUCGUGAGGCCAAAAGAGAUAGACGAACAUAGAUUCGAAACUAGGAUGGGUUUACAAACAAGAACAGAAGAUAUGUCUGCCUUUGAAAACAUAGUUCGUCAGUCAAUCACUCAAAUGUCGACCAAAACCAGCCAUAAAGAUGACGAACAAGAAGAAAAACUAAAACCAUGGCAGCUAUGUCGUUGGAGAGAAGGAGAAAUAUACUGGGUUUUUUUUUUUCAGAGAAGUAGAGAAAGAAGAACAAAGAAGCGUAAGAACAAAGAGGGAAAGAGGAAGAGGUAGAGUCGAACAUCGAUUCUUGUAAUCUUUAAUUAAGUUUUUUUUUAUCUAUUUUUUAUUAAAACUAACGAUGUGGUUAACAGAAUUAAGCUCUAUUGGGGUAGAGACAAGUGUCAGAAUUUGGAAGGUGGCACAGGUUUGGCACAGCAGAUUUGCUUCCCCUGCAAGAGUGACGAAGGAAAUGAUGUUUUGAGAUGCUAAAGAUUUAGUCAAUGACUAAUGACUACUCUUAAUUAGUCCUUCUCAAGUAAGAUUUUCUUAAUUAAGACUGUUGAAAAUCGAGGUUUCGUUUCUGUGCUUGGGUUACGUACUCCAGGUGGUGAGAAAAUGUCAGAAAUUAGGUUUAGGAAAAAAAAAAAAAAAACUUAAAAUAGAGUUCGAUUUUCCAUCAUCAACUCAUUCAAACUCUACGAGAAUAAUCAAAUCGGUUAUAAGUUUUGAUGAUCGUUCCCAGUGAACCUUCAAUUUCUCUCCAAUUUUCUUGUGGACUACAUUUUCCACUUUUCUUCAUAUAUAUAAAAAGAUAAGUAAACCGGCCACAAAAACUUUUACCGCGCAUUUGAAUGAACACCAUCACAUUCUCAAUGGCCUGGUUCAACUAUCGACUCGAGGCCUUCAUAUUCACCGAGUAAGAUUUGUUUUGUUGAUCGUUUGUUUCACACAGAAAUUUCUGUAUGGAUAAUUCAUAGGGGCCAAUAUCGGGACCAGUAUCAACCCUAUGAAUUAUCCCAGUAGUAAAAUGAUAACCUGGAUCAUUCAGCAAUAAGAUUGUUGCAAAAUCAAGUUGUUGGGAGGCACAGAAAUGGCUCAACUUGAGCAGUUUGCACCGACUUAUGUUUGUGCGCCACCGGCUGAAACAGCUUCGAGAGGGUUUUGGUUUCACGAAGAUCCUUUGGACUAUACAGUUCCUGCAACCCUAGCACAAGUUAUCCUUGUCAUUGUGACCUUCCGGCUACUUUAUUUUCUUCUCAAGCCUCUAGGACAGACCAAACUCACUUGUCAUCUCCUGGUACUUGCGCUUUUUCACGCCUCGACGAUUGUGGGUUAUAUUAUAUUUAUUUUUCAAUCAAUUUAUGAAUCAGUAAUCAUUCUAAAACAAGUGUUUUUGUUGGUUCUUCCUCUGAUCAGGCUGGCAUUAUCUUGGGGCCUUCUCUGGUAGGGCGCAACCAGUUUAUGAGGGACAAAUUAUUAAACCUGAAAGAUGCGUCGUUGUGGGCGACAAUGGGUCUGUUGGGAGCUACAUUAUCCAUGUUCAUAACUGCGGUAAAAUUUGACAUAAGAAUGGCUAGAAGGACAAAGCUUUCUUUCAAGAUAGGUGUUCCAGGGCUCCUUAUCACCAUUGCAGUAACCUUGGGCCUUGGAUACCCGCUAGCCAGCUUCAUUCCCGGAAUUAAAAAAGGGAUCUUCCCCCUUUUUUUCUUUUCUAUUCUGUCUUUCACUUUCGUCCCUGAUGUAGCUCCGGCCUUAGACGAACUCAACCUUAUGAAUUCUGAGUUAGGUCAAAUUGCCAUGUCCUCUGCUUUGCAUUUUGAAUUGAUACAAUGGUUGUUUUCAACAGUACAAGAGAUAGCUACUAAAGAAAAGGCAAGCUACGGAGCUUUGACUUUCAUUUCUGCAGUGGCGUUGGCUGCUUUCAUUGUUCUUGUCAUACGCCCGCUUAUGGUAUCAAUUGUUGAGAAAACACCACAAGGACAGCAAGAAGUAAAAGAGCAUUAUGUAGUAGCAAUACUAGUUGGGGCUCUAUUCCUAUCCUUUAUAUCUGACACAAUAGGUUGCACCUUUGUUCUAGGUCCUGUACUUCUAGGGUUCGUCAUACCAAAUGGACCACCUUUGGGUGCAACAUUAGUAGCCAAGACUGAACUCUUGGUCUCUGAACUUCUUCUUCCAGUGUUCUAUUUACGUAUUGGCUUCUAUGCAAACAUACUUACGAUUAGCGAUUGGAAGAGUUUUUGCACAUUGCAGGCCAUUCUUGGUGCGUCAUAUGUGGUUAAGAUUGUGACAGUUACCACGGCUGCAUUGUGCUGCAAAAUUAGUUUGAGAAAUAGUUUCUUACUCGGGAUAAUGAUGAAUAUCAAGGGUAUUAUAGAUUUGACCCUUUUCUCUCGAUGGCUGCACAGUAAGGUAUAUAUGCGCACAUUUAUCUAUUCCUUUCUUAAUUUCUUAAGAUGUUGAGUGGUAAUUUGGAUUAAUUUAUCCUAGCUACUAAUGUAUGUUUAUCUUAUGCAGUUGCUAAAUGAUGCCGUAUAUACUCAACUGCUGUUAGCUAUGUUGGUUGGGAACAUAAUUUCAACAGCAUUUGUAUAUUUCACAUAUAGAUCUCAUCUGAGACUCGGGCCAUCACCUGAAGUCCCACGCAUUAGAAACAUCCGAUCAGUUCAACCCAACUCUCCUUUCAACAUUCUUUGUUGUGUUCACAACGAUGAAAGUAUCCGUAACCUCACCUCUCUCCUAGAAGCCUCAAAUCCAACAGAAGCAAGCCCUAUUUGUGCUUACAUUGUCCAAGCUGUAGAGCUCCUGGGGCGGACGAUACCUGUACUAGUCCCUUAUAAGAAGAAGGAGGGGAACAGAUUUAGCCGAAUAAAUUCACUGGCACAUCAUAUGAUGCAAGCAUUUUCCAACUACUCAGAAAAAGUGGACCUGUCUUGAUCAAAUCAUUCACUAUGAUCGCGCCCUAUAAAUCGAUGCAUGAGACUAUUUGCCGUCUAGCGGAUGAAAAACACGUACCUUUGUCCUUUGGUUAUCCUCCCAUUUCAUGAAAACCACCAGAUUAUGGUUGGCACCAGUUUGACUGUUGCGAUACGACAAUUUAACAACAACGUGCAAGAACAUUCACCUUGUACAGUUGGGAUACUAGUUGAAAGAGGGUUGCCCAUGCAGCUUACCUUGUCACAUUUCUCAUACAAUGUGGCUACAUUUUUCAUCGGCGGACCAGAUGACCGCGAGGUGUUGGCCUUAGCGACACGUAUGUUAGGCAACCGGAACGUUGUCCUCACAGUGUACAGAAUUGUUGUAUUGUGGAAAAAAUUAAGCGAGAUUAAAGAUGAGAAGAUGGAGAUCAGGCUGGAUGAGUCGAUGGUGGAUGAGUUUAAGCUGAGGAAUAACAUGAAUGACUGCUUGAAUUGGCGAGAUAUCGAGGUUGAGGACACUGUACAGGCUAUGGAUACAAUUUUGAACUCGCGGGGGGAAUAUGAUCUAGUAAUGGUCGGAAGGCGUCAUGCGGAUAGUUCAUUGAGUAAUGAGGAAAUGUCAGAAUUCGUACAUUAUCCGGAGCUGGGAAUGAUUGGCGACAUGCUUGCAUCUUCAGAAUUCUGUGGUGGGAUGGUGAAUGUUUUGGUGUUGCAAGAAAGCAUGGAAGUUAGUAGAGAUUAUGGGUAAGUUUCUCGAAAUGGCUCCUCGGAGUUGGGAGUUAUGCACCACAACUGACGCCAUACAAGAAGAAAGAGAAGCUUAGGCAGUCGGAUUCUGCUACACAUCAUAUGAUGUGAGCCUUCGGGAAUAACUCAAGAGGACCCGUGAUAAUUAGGGUUUAGGGUUUAACUCAGAAAUUUGGUUUGCAAAACCCUGAACCCUUGAAUCCAUGAACGAGACUUUAACGAACUUUUUGAUCACAAAAUCAAAUCUUCACCGUUCAGUUCGUUGGGCUAUAUGAGUAGAUCAUUUGUACAAAUUUUUAGAAAAUUUGGUGAUCGUUAAGUCAUCCAAAUGAGGGAUUUAUUUUUAAUAAUCUUGAACGGUGUAGGUUUGACAUAAGUGUUAAUUUUUUGUUUUAAUCUCUGUCAUCGAAGCCCAUUAAAAAACAGAUAUAAUGAUGUGAACCUAUCCCUAAAAGUGAUGAAAAAUAGAGAUCCCUCAUUGGAAGGGCCCUCUAUAUAUAUAUGUUAUAUAUGUUGUUGGCAAAUUGCUCCCACCUAGCUAGCUAACCCAUAUGCCAACUGAACCCUAAUUUUUGACAAAGGCUUAUGCCUUGUCCUCGGCCAAGUGUCUCCAACUUCUCUUACUUUGUGGCUGUAUUUUUCAUUGCUGGAUCAAAUAAUCUUGAGGCAUUGCCAAUUUGGCAUAUUUAUCGAUCACACAUGGCUGGCAACAGAUGAUGUCGGCAUCAUGGUGUCCAAAAUUCUAGUGCAGAUCAAUAAGACGAAUUUGUUAUGGAAGAGAAGCUAGCGAGAGAGAACUUUAGCACAUUCGGAUGUGUCGUUGAGGUUUUGAUCGAGGGAUGAAGAAAUGGUAGAGGUACUGCAAAAUCUAGAGCUAGCUGUGAGUGAUUGACGACAUGUUCGCAAUACACGUGAUAGUUUUUUGAGAAAAUCUUAGGUACGAUAGCCGCACCACGUGGCUCAUGCGACAGGCCAACCACGUAUCGACAAGUGUCAAUCUUUCCCAAACCAACAUUGUUGAAAUCAGAAAAAAUAAGGAAGCCGGAGUUUAUUUUUUUCCGAUCAAACUAGACCAAGCCUUGCUCCUCCUCUCUCCCUCUGCCGACCCCUUUUGAGUAAUAAUUCCACCCUCAAGCUCCUAUCUCUCCGCCGACCCUCUUACACUCAUUCUUCUUCUUGUUUUCAAUCUCUAACCCAACCAACCCAUCCCUCAUCUCUCAUCUUCGCCUCCCAUAAUCACCUUAUCCCUCAUCUCUUCCUCGCCGGCCACCAUCACUAUCUCCACUGACCAUCACAGCUCCACCCUUUCUACGCCGCAACCUCCUGACAAAUCCGCCUCCGUCUCGGCCCCGACGCAUCAAGACGCGCUUCCAAGAAGUCUUUGACACAGUCGUCUUCGUCGUCAGAGGUGACGAAGAUGGAGGUGGCGGCUUUGAGGAAGGCUGGGAGAGGAAGAGGGAAAGGACUUGGUUUGGUCUGGGUUGAUCGGAGGAGAAUGUAACUUCCAGAGGACUUCUGGGCUGUUUUUUAUUUAUUUAAUUUUUUUUUCUGAUAAAGAUCGACACAUGUCUAUGCGUGGUUGGCCCGUCGCAUGAGCCACGUGGUGCGGCUGUAGCACCUAAGAUUUUCUUUAGUUUUUUAGUUAUUUUUUUUAACGAGAUUACACGGUUUCGUCAUAGACUCUUUUACGAGGUAAAAGUGAUAGUUGGAACUUGAGUAGUUAACAUUUGUUUAAGUGGUUAUUGGUGGCAUAUAUGUCAAUUCUAUGGAAAAUUCUAUUAUGUAUUAAUAUAUGCAUGACAUGCAUCAACUUUGUCCUAAAGCUGUAAAAUAAGUCCUCAAACAAAGUAGUAAUAUUAGUCCACUAUAAGUUGUAACAUGAGGCCUUAAAAUUGUAAACUUUUACUUACAACAUUAGUCCUUAUAGAAAAUUUCAUAUAAGUCACAUUCUGAACAUUUUCUCCUACAUAAGUCCACCAUAACAGUUUUACUCAUAUAAGUCCACUUUUAAGGCUAAAUCUGUUAUUUUAUUUUUACGAUGUACCUAAAAUGCCCUCCUCUCCUUUACACCAAUUCUCUGUCUCCCUCUCUCUCUCUCNNNNNNNNNNNNNNNNNNNNUAUAUAUAUAUAUAUAUAUAUAUAUAUAUAUAUAUAUAUAUAAGGCCUUUCAAUGAGAGAUCCUUUUUUUUUUGUACACAUUUGAGGGAUAGCUUCUUUACCGUUUGAUCUAAAUAAAUGUUAUUGAACGGUUGAGAUUAAGACACUCAAAUUUACCCCUUUCUAACCCCAAUUCUAGAAAUUGCAGUUCUCUCUGCCUAUCUCGCGAAACAGUCCGUCACAUCUCAAACACUACUCUUUCUUCAAAGUUUAAUUAGGUUUUCAAUUUGUAGUGAUUGUAUUAUUUCUUAUCUUUCUGCAAUUCUUCAGGGAAACAGUUCAUUGUCCCGUCUUGGCGAAGCACUGUGCCUCCAGCAUACAUAUCUUUUAUUUAAUAAAACCAGAUGUUGUCUAACUGGUUACAUAUUUGAAGUACUCAAUAUAUUAAAGCCAAACGUUAUAAAUGGUCCCCGUGGUUUGGGGCCAUGAUUAUGUUUGUCCAUGUGGUUUAAACAUAUCUAAUUUUGGUCCUCGUGUUUGCUAUAUCAACUAAUUUUGGUCAUGUUAUAACAUUCAGUCUAACACCGUUAAUGAAGUUCUCAUAUGUUCGUCACAUGAUGAGAUAGUUUCGUCUUUUAUCUUCAAACCUCGGUCGUCCCUUUUUACUUGCUAACCGCAACGUGUUCAAUAACAAUCAAUUCCUCCAUUGCUAUGUUCUUGGCUCAUAGAGGAGAUAGCCCAGGUUAACAUGGUCGGAAAUUUAGUCUUUUGCCUUUAAUCACAAUCACUUGAUCAUUUUUAACGACUUAUCAGGGACGACACUAAUUGUUUAACUUCUCAAAAGAAGGUCAAAAGAACCAACUUCUAUUGCCAAUGUUCUUGGUCAGGUGACUUGUGAAGGAGUCACAUACUGUAGUCGGUAGUUGAUAAACUACCUUCCCCGCCCAUAGACCAGUCAUGAAACUUGUAGACCGACAUCCGAGCUACCUCGUCAUGGUGAAAUGUCAUCGGUACCACAUCGAGAAGGUGCUUCUCCAUGCUCCACAAGAAGGCACAAUGAUAAGAUAUAUGUGCAGUGGUUAGUCCCACAUUGGAAAUAUGUAAAAGGAGGAAACCUUCCUUAGCUCUAAAAGGAAGACUUCCCAUAUGUAGAAAGCUCUCUAACUAGCUAGCUGGCUGCAUGAUGAUCUCUCUCCCGAUCCCAAAGGCCUCUUGGCCAUGAUAGUUGAUUGUAAAGUGGACGUAGCCAUGUCCUCCGAUGGCAUGGUGAACCACUAUACGUCCUUGUGUCUCUUGCCCAUAAUGUUUAUUGUUCAUAUUCGUGUUCCACCAUGAUUCUAUAUGGUCAUCCGGGAUUAUGCAGAAACAUUUGAUGCCGUCUGUGGGAAUCAUUACAAAAAGUCACAUUGCUCUACCUUCGAGAGGCAGUUUAUUCAAGUCCAUGAUAGCAAUAGGUCCAUCGGGAGGUACGCAAGCCCAGUAAAGGGCUAGCUAGUCAGUGGGUUGGCAAGCUCCUCGGUAGGCCCAAGACUAUCCGGGAUUAGCAAGUUGUUCAACUGGGUCCAGACUGCCAUCGGGCCCAAGCCAUUCGGUGGGCGGAGUUCAUGAGAGAUCCUCCCGCCCGGGUGCCCUUUAUCACUGGAUCAUGCCAAAGCCACUAGGUGACAUUGCACUUGCUAAUCCUGCCCGGGUUCUCUUUUAGCAUCGGGACAUCAUCAAGAGCCGUCACCCGCCCGGGAUGACAUCAUCAUGAUGACCUGCCAAACCUCCCGCCCGGGUUUAUGACCAGAGCCUCCAGCCAUCACCCGAAGAAGAUUCAACGAGACCUGGAGCUCAGUCAUGUCGUCCGGGAGCUUCGCCGGCGACAACCCAAUCCUCCCGCUGCCCGGUCUUCUUCUUCUCCCGAUGGUUCCUCUCCCGGGUCCUACAGCUCCCUUCCCAGUGGCUCAAGCACGGCAGCAGCUCGGCAGCAGCUUCCCGGUGGCCUUGCCCCAAGCCCGGCAGCAACUCGGCAGCAGCUUCCCAGUGGCCUUGCCUCGAGCUCGGCAGCCGCUAGCCUCCCGUUCUCCGGCGAAGGAAAGAAGAGGAAGUCGAUCUGGACACCCAUCUUCUUUCUCUGGGCACCCAGCUCGGCAGCAGCCUUCGGGAGCUCGGAGAGAAAGGAAAGAAAGGAAGAUGCAGAAGCAGAAAGAAGGAAGAUGAAAAAGAGAAGGAAAAAAGGGAAAGAAAGAAAGAGGAAGGGAGGUCUCGGGGGCUCCCAAGUUNNNNNNNNNNNNNNNNNNNNUUAAGUGGUAAAUGUGUGCUUAAAGUGGUGAUUGAGUCCUCAAAAUGAAUAAAAAAAAAAAUAUUGAUGCAACUUUAUGGACUCAUAGAUAUGCCAAGCUAUGGUACUGAGAUGUAUAUCCUACUUUUAUUUUACAUGUACUUGAACAAAAAUUACAAUGUUAUGAAUCAGAUUACAGUAUUCAGAAUAAAUUUACCAAAUUUAUUUACACCAUUUACAUGAAGUUAAACAAAAUUACAACUAUGAGAACAAUUUGUUCAAAAAGUUGUAAAACGAAUGUACAUUUUGUAAUUACAAUUAUUAGAACAAGAUUACAAACAAUACGACUCAACAUUACCACUUUAAUUACAAAUAUGUUGUCACAUUUGUAAAUAUAUGUAUCACAUACGGGUAGGUACUAUAGAAUUUCCCCAUAUAUAUUACCACUUUGAGGACUAAUAUUACUACUUUAAGAACUCAUGUGAUAACUAAUAAUAUUUAUGGCAAAUGCUCAUUUAGUACUAAUUAUAGGUAUUGUCAUUGGAAUGAGCUUUGAAAACCAUAUUUUUGUGCAAAUGGGCAUUUGCCCUAAUACUUACAACUUUAACGACUCAUAUUACCACAUUGAUGACUAAUUUGACGACAAUUAACAACUUUAGAACAAAGUUGAUGCAUGUCAUGCAUUAACACACCAUAGUCUUCCCCCAAUUCCAUUGUAAUCCUUUUUGUUUAGCCAACAACACGUACGUGGAAAGGUAUAGAAAAGCAAAUGCACCAGGGGACUAAUUGGGUGAGCAAUCAAUAAAAUAACGUAAACGAAAGAAUGCAGCUGUAGAGAAUCAGUCUGCUAGGUCGACCAAGUCGCUGACCUAGAAUUAGCAACUCCAUUGCCUGACCAAUGUUUUGGCUCACACACUCACUUGGGUUAGCUACCAAACCAACAUACAUUAUUCAACUGAAAUUAAUUCUAACUUGUAAAGUCCAAAUAAUAUAUUGACAUUAGAAUUAAGGAAAAUAAUUGAGGCCUAAGAUUUGUGGCCUCGAUCUAAAGCGUAAUACCAAUUUACAAAAACACAUCACAAAUUUGUCAAAUCAUGUCAGCAUUACUCGUAGAAAAGUCUUAUCCAUCAAAUAUGAUGGCUCUAAAUUAUAUAAACUUUAUUUAAAAUAACUACUUUAACGGUUUUUAUUUUCUAUUUAUUUUCAAUACUCACAACAAUAUUUCGUUAAUCAAGAAUAAAAAUUAUUUCUUGAAAUUCGGGGUUGAUGGUUAUUGCAAAUUAUGCUCAUAUGAAUAAGUGUGUGUGUGUGUGUAUAUAUAUAUAUAGUCCGAAUCAAGAGUGGACGUCGCCGAUUUCUACACCUUUAUGUCAACACCAUCCCGGAGGCCUCUGGUGUUCAUCUGGCAAAAGAAGUGCCGCCGUCUGCACUUUAAGGGUGGUGCGGAUGUCCACCUCUGAACGGGGAUGUAUAUAUAUNNNNNNNNNNNNNNNNNNNNNNNNNNNNNNNNNNNNNNNNNNNNNNNNNNNNNNNNNNNNNNNNNNNNNNNNNNNNNNNNNNNNNNNNNNNNNNNNNNNNNNNNNNNNNNNNNNNNNNNNNNNNNNNNNNNNNNNNNNNNNNNNNNNNNNNNNNNNNNNNNNNNNNNNNNNNNNNNNNNNNNNNNNNNNNNNNNNNNNNNNNNNNNNNNNNNNNNNNNNNNNNNNNNNNNNNNNNNNNNNNNNNNNNNNNNNNNNNNNNNNNNNNNNNNNNNNNNNNNNNNNNNNNNNUUCCGGCAAAGUCUUCCCUCCAUCUUUUUCACUUUUUCUCUUUAAGUAAAAGCUAAGGGUAAAAAGUCUUUAAAAUAUAAUUUUAUUAUAUUUAAAUAAAGAUUUGUGUAUUUGGGCUUAAAAUAAGUACCUUGUAUUCAAAUGGGCUAAUAAAAAGAUUAUCAUUGAAAUAGGGUUUGACUUUUUCUAUUUUAUGCAUUAAGGCUUUUUCCCUUUAAAAAAAAAGAAAAAGAAGAACACCCGGAGCUAUUUAAUUCCUUGGUCACGAGCGGGAUAUGCAGCAACAGUGCGAACAGCCGAUAAUUACUCAUCGGAUCCCGGAGGCCUUAAAAAAAAAAGCAAAAAAAAGAAAAGAAAAGUGGGGUGAAAGAAAGAAGAGGGAAGCCUAUAGCAACAUGAUACUACACUCCCGGACCCUAACUAAGUGUUCACAGUUCACACUUCCAGUCUACUGGGUGCACCCAUUUAGCAGCUAUUUUCAUAGAUAAGUCCCUAUCUCGUUGGUUUGUGACAGUUCAUAAUAUUGAUGCCAUGAUUUCGUCCUACUUGCAAAUCAACCUGUAUGUAUAUGAGUAUGCAUGCUGGUCAGCAGAUUUUGGCAUUAGACCUAGAGGCAUAAGUCAUUAAAAUCUCGAGUAAUAUCAAACGGGAUAGGCAUUAGACCGAGAGGCAUAAGUCAUUAAAAUCUAGAGUAAUAUCUAGCGGGAUAGACAUUAGACCGAGAAGCAUAAGUCAUUAACAUUCCGAGAGGCAUUCCACCGAGAAAUUAUGUAGGCUGCUAAUCAAUCAUUUGUUCAUUGUGAAGGUACAACAAUCCUCGCCCGGCCGAGUAAGUUUUGAGGCCGGGUUUCGGGAGGGAACGGUGUACAUCAAGCAAAAGCAAGACUCGGACCAAGCAAAACCCAGAAUAAGCAAGACCCGGAACAUGCAAGACCCGUUCAACACAUCUCUUGAGUACGGACUUGGGGAGACUGGGGCCGGGUGCCCGUUGAUAAAUGACUAGUCUAUGGGCAUUCAAUAUAUCAAGUCCCCACUCAAGACGUGUCUUGAACGGGAACUUGAGAGGACUUGUAGUCGGUAGUUGAUAAACUACCUUCCCCGCCCAUAGACCAGUCAUGAAACUUGUAGACCGACAUCCGAGCUACCUCGCCAUGGUGAAAUGUCAUCGGUAUCACGUCGGGAAGGUGUUCCUCCAAGCUCCACAAGAAGGUACCUUGAUAAUAGUUAUAUGUGUAGUAGUUAGUCCCACAUUGGAAAUAUGUAAAAGGAGGAAACCUUCCUUAGCUAUAAAAGGAAGGCUUCCCAUAUGUAGAAAGCUAGCUAGCUAGCUGAUCUGAUGAUGAUCUCUCUCUCCCGAUCCCAAAGGCCUAUUGGCCAUGAUAGUAGAAGCUUAAGUGGAUGUAGCCAUGUCUUCCGAUGACAUGGUGAACCACUAUAUGCCCUUGUCUCUUGCCCAUAAUUAUCUAUUGUUCGUGUUCCACCCAUGAUUCUACAUGGUCCUCCGGGAUUAUGCAGAAACACAUACCAAGCAAAUAUAAAGAAGUAAAUCAAGAAGCAAUUUUCAUGAAGAUGUGGUGAUUCUUCUCUUUGAGGCCAAAAUUUUAGAUGAUAAAUAAAGUUUUGCAGGAAUCAAUUGAAGGCCUUAACAUUUCACCUUGGAAUUCAUCUACGAGCAAUACUUUGCCAUGAUGAUUGAAGAUUAGAACUCCAAUGAUGCCAACCAAGAAUGUCCAAUUAAAACCCAUCUUAACGGGAAAAAUCUGUGCACAUUCCAUUUCAUGACAAACACUAAUCUUGCAAUUCUUGUUUGUGUUCUUGAGAGCAUAGUAAAAGGGAAAUGAAAUUGGUACAUGGAGUUGUAAAUGAUGAAUAAGGGAUUGUGGGUUAAAGGAGAAAUACAAAAUUACCCUAUCAUGUGACGAGCAUGUGAGAACUUUACAAACGGUGUUAGUCAGAAUGUUAUAGCUAACCCAAAAUUACUUCAUAUAUAAAACACGAGGAUUAAAAUUAGAUAUUUUUAAACCAUGAGGGCAAACAUAAUUAUGACCUCAAACAACGUGGACUAUUUAUAACAUUUGCCCUAUAUUAAAUUAUUUAUUGAUGAUAAUUUCUUUUGUAAAAAGAGAAAUCCAUAACUUUCUCUUGUGGUACAAGGCCAGUCAGGUCAUUCCCACGUUUUGGAUCGAUAAAACUCAAACUCAAUUUGGAUCAAUACAAUAAGAAAUCUGAAGCGUUGAUCGAAACUAGCUAGAUCGGAGACUGGGGCAUAUACAAGAACGGCGACGCAAACUAAGGAGAAAAGAAGACUCAACAUGUGGUGUGUUUAUAUAUUGAGGCUCUAUGCUGAAUUGUGGCUAACUUGUGGGCCAAAUUGAUGAGACCAAACGCUCACUAACCUAUGGGUUGAAGACCCUACAACAUAAUACAAUAAAACAACAACAAAAACAAAUCUACUACACUCUCCACCCAUACUUGCUAACAAUGAUGUUGCCAUCGCCACCAGCAGCCGUGAGGUAGUGAGGAGUACUAAGCCAGAGCAAUGACGCCCGGAUAACUGAUGCCAAUCACAUCCCACUACACAAAUCAUAUGGUAGCCCACAACCGAGAGGAAGAACUCCCUCGAAACAACACCGUACAAUCCACCAUCUAAAUCCAGUCCGCGAAAGAGAAGUGACUGACGAAGGAGAACCCAGAAGCAGGACCAAGAACCAGUACCAAAGAAAAUGGGGGGUGAUGAACCCACGCGUGAACACCCAUAAUCGACUAGGUAAGUGCUAAACUGCACUUUAAACGUACAGACACACAAGCUCUCACGUAGGUUUACAAUGGUAAUUGACAGGUUGUUUUGGUGUAGAGUAUCCAAAAAUUUGGAAACAUAUGGGAUUGUUUGACAUCGGUUUGAGGAACCAAACCAAGUCCUCCCGAUCCGGACAUAGCCAGUAUAAUCCACAAAAGGAUAAAAACACACCACAAGAGUGACAUAGGUCCAUAAACAUGGUGCCCAGAGUAACAUAAAUAUGAAACGAACAACGAAAUUAAGAUAGAUACCUCAUGGCCCAUAAUGCAAUCCUGGGUCAAGACAAAGGCCCAGACGACCCAGGCCCAAAGCACAUGAGGCAGAAGCCCAUUAAGUUGUAUCCAAGCCCAUGGAGCCCACUCAGUUGAUCCCAUCGUCGUCCCAGCCCAAAUGAAGCACUGCACCGGAGCCGCCGUACCACCACCGUCCCCGACGCCGCAUCUGCGUAAUUGGACACCCACUUCCAGCGCUAAACCACCCUGCCUACCUAACUCCAACCAGCCUACCUUAGUUUGAUCCGAGUUUGGAUCUGGUAAAGUUUCGGUCUUCCAGACACACCGGAGAACCAACCGGAUGACCCCUCGAA
rnacentral:lncRNA from 1 species